rnacentral:piRNA from 1 species
UAACUUUUUACUUGUCUUUCUGAACCCACC